rnacentral:rRNA from 1 species
GGGGGGAGCAAGCGUUGUUCGGAUUUACUGGGCGUAAAGGGCGCGUAGGCGGCCUCUGCAAGUCGACUGUGAAAUCUCCGGGCUUAACCCGGAAAGGUCAGCCGAUACUGCAGGGCUAGAGUGCAGAAGGGGCAACUGGAAUUCUCGGUGUAGCGGUGAAAUGCGUAGAUAUCGAGAGGAACACCUGCGGCGAAGGCGGGUUGCUGGGCUGACACUGACGCUGAAGCGCGAAAGCUAGGGGAGCGAACGGGAUUAGAUACCCCGGUAGUCCUAGCCUUAAACGAUGAAUGCUUGGUGUCUGGGGUUUUAUAGUCCCCGGGUGCCGUCGCUAACGCUUUAAGCAUUCCGCCUGGGGAGUGCGGUCGCAAGACUG